GCGAGCGCGCAGGCGCACAAAAGGCCCCCGGGCGGGCGGCGGUCGGGUCUAGGCGCCCAGCGACGCAGGGCGCAAGCGCAAGAACUGUCCCUCCGCGCUCCUGCGGGGAAGGAGGGGCAAAACUGGCUUCACCCAGCGCGGGCGCGAGAGGCCGGGGUGGGCCGCGCCCCUCCGGGGACAAGACGCAAGGGGCGUGGCCAAAGGCCAAGCCCCGCCCACCACUGCGGCCGAAGUGGGAGGGGGCCCCCGCAGCUGGAGAAUGUCUUUCCCAUAAAUUCCAGAGCGGAUGUCUUUUGUCUGAUGCGUUCCUGCCUGUGACGCCAAUGAAAAGUGAAAACCGGAAUGUGGAUAUAGGCCCACUGUGCAAGGUGCUUUAUUCAUUUUUCUGGAUGUGUCGUAAUCUCUGAGGCAGAGAUGGCACGGUCUCCCAUUUGGCUAUCAAGUAAAGAAGACAUAUUUUGAAGAAAAAAUAGCUGAGCUAAUGAGAAGAAGAGCCCGGAGAUAACAUCCUGGCUGCGGCUAUGGGGGGAUGGUAAAAUGAGGUAUUGAGAAUAUGCCACAAAAUACAUACAAUUGAAUUUUAUCCAUAGCCUAAAUGGAGUCCUUAGUAGAAAAUUUAUUUGAAACCAGAUAUCUAGCUUAUACUGGAUUUUGUUCGUUUUUGUUUGUUUUGUUUUGUUCUGGUCUCCUCUUUGGUUGGAUUGUGAAAAUCAAAGCCUUCUCCAUACACGAGAUCAAAAUACUUGAAAUGUGCAUGAUUCUUUUAAAAAGGGGAAUGUAAACUGGAAAUGGCAAAAAUCAAAACUGUAGGCCUUGUGAUUGCUAAAGCAGCAAUCGAUGACCCGAAGGGCAAUUGCAAGAUCAGCAGCCUCAUGAAGGGGGAGGUGGUUUGCCAGGCAGCAACAGAAAGGACAAGUGAUCUGACCAUUGGAAAUCUUCUAGAACAGGAAGUAGACUACAUCUGCCCUUGGCACUUUUUAAGGUCAGGUAAAGCCCAGAUAGGAAAAAAACUGGCCAUUGCAAUGCUCUGGAAAAAAAGGCACAGAAGAUUAUUUCCCAAAAUAAUACGUGGCAAAUAUCUUCCUCUGACACUUACAGCAUCAGUUGAUAAUGCAGCAAUCUGUCCUUUAGAUGACAAAGGGAAAUGGAAACCAAUCUGAUAACCAAGCCAGUUAUCUACCCAUUCUGAUAAAUGCAUAUACUUUAAAAAUGUAUGCUAUUAGAUGCUGGAUAAGAAAAUGAAUGAGGCUGGUCCUUAGCCCUGACAGCCAUUGCUAGGCUCUUAAGGAAAGGAAAGGAAACCUGUUUUCAUGGUAACUAGAAGUAGAGAAAAGAAGCUAAAAAUAAAGGUACGGAUGUCUUGGUGGUCCUUUCAUACUCUUAAGAUUUCUUCCGUAAGAGACCUUUGUGCUAGGUCCAAUUCCUGAAACUGUUUUUCUUUCCUGCUCCCUCUUGCUGUACCAGUAAACUUCCCUGAGACUGACUCUUGCGUGAGAUGUUAUUUGUAUCUAUGAUUUGUUCCACAAAUGUUUACUGAUCACCUGCUGAGAGAAUGACACCAUCCUGGGGAAUGUGGAGGAAUCAAAAAAAUAUGUUUGUCCUGUCUUCAGUGAGCUUACAAGCUAGUUGGGGCUCGAAAAUACUCGCAUAAAAAUAAAAAUUAAAUGGCAACCAAAACAACCCUAAACAACACAGAACUGUAGUGUUCUGAUGAGAUGGCAACUCAGUCGUAUGAAUUUAAAGGGAGAGGGAAUAGGGGCGCCUGGGUGGCUCAGUCGGUUAAGCGGCCAACUUCGGCUCAGGUCAUGAUCUCGUGGUCCGUGAGUUCGAGCCCCGCGUCAGGCUCUGUGCUGACAGCUCGGAGCCUGGAGCCUGUUUCGGAUUCUGUGUCUCCCUCUCUCUGACCCUCCCCCGUUCAUGCUCUGUCUCUCUCUGUCUCAAAAAUAAAUAAACGUUAAAAAAAAUUUUUUUAAAGGGAG